CUCAUUCCUGUAAGGCCUGGGGCGAACCGAAGCUCUCCUGGAACGAUCCAUGCGGCCUUCAAGAAGAUCCCUGUCACAGCACAAAAAUCCUCUUGAAGUCUGGAAGCAGGAAAAGAGGCUGGAACAACUGCAACAUGGACCUAUAAAGUUUGUCUGGGGGACCUGAGUGGGGUAAGGACACCCCCUCAUUCCCAUCUUAACCAAAAAAUGUAUGAAGAUCUUGAAUACAAAGGGAGUACAGAGCAAAGCUGGGAAAAUCAAAGGAGGAAGAGAAGAAGAUAAGAGGGGAAGAUGAAGAAGAGUAAGAAAGGAGUGCCUCCCGACCAUGACACACCCAGUGGGAUUUUCAUCAAUAAGGAUAAUAUUAUGAUUAACCAACGGAUGUAUAAAGGCAUAUAAGAUCUCUGCUGUAUUGGGUCUAUUGACAAUUCAAACAGUAUUAUAUGGAGUCAUGUGUGAUCCAAUAAAACCAGACUUUGUGAAAAGCUU